UUUUCUUCUUUUUCUGCACACGAUUAGAUUUGACAGCUGAAAUUUUGUUGUUGGUUGUUCGGUUCAAGUUUGUUUGUUUUGAAGAAAUAAAUACUGCCGUCGAGAAAAAGAUAUUCAACGCAACUGGCUUCCUGUUUCCAAACAUCUUCUAUGUGCACAAACGGUUCAGAUUUAUUAGCACUUUAUCAAACUAUGAAACAUCAUCGAAUGCCUAUCGAAGAUUCCGAACGAGCUUCCCGAAUUGGUCAAUCCCCUGCUCUACCAUCUGUAUAUCGAUAAAUUGAAGAGACCGCCAAGGGGACCAUGAUUGACAAACAACGAUCGCGUUCCUCCGCAAGCAUGCCACUUCUCUGAAAAAGAUUGGCCCUAGUAGGUCUCCGCUGAUGAUGAACCAAAAGAUUGAAAGAGACAGACAGAGGGACAACAGGCAUGCGGUAUAUCCAUCGGAAGAGAUGCUAAAUAUGGAUCCGUGGUUGUAUGUUGCGGCAGUAUAGGCAAAGGAGCUGAGGAAGCUACGAAAGAGUCGUAUAAAAAGUCGUGUGUCAGUGUUUGCUAAUUUCUGAUUUUACAUAAUGAUUUAAAUAUAUGAAAACAAACGAAUUCAAAUUGUUAGUAACAGUCA
rnacentral:lncRNA from 1 species